CAAAGGCGUAGGGGUAGUGGGAGGGGCAGGGGAAAGGAAAGAAAGGAAAGGAAAAAUGAUGAGAAAUGGAAAAAAUGGAAAUAAAGUCUUUGUAAAUAGGGAAGGGUGGAGGGGGUGAAGGGAGGGCUAGGAAUGGGGAAAAAAUAAGAACCAAGAUGCAUUAUGUAAAGGUACAAUUCCCAAUGAGAAAUGUAAUUAUGUUGUAUACCUACAAUGUACCAAUAAAAGAAAUUAAAACAAAAAAACCCAAAAUAAUCACCUACCAUAGGCUAGUUUUGUGCAAAGGAAAAAAAAGCAAACAAAUCAAGGGCUAAAAUAUAGUAAUCACCUCUAUUACUGUAGCUAUAAUGAUUGCUGUUACUGGCCUGAGUCUUAUGUGCUACAGAAUAUGAUCUUUGGAGAGUUGUAGGCAUAUGUCUCUAGUACUUUCUGGCCCCCUGGAACUUAGCCAGCAUUCGAUGAGAGCCACAUGGAAAGACCUUUGGAGGAGAUAGGAGGUACCUCACUAGACCACCAUAGCUGAGGUCCCAGUCAACAGAACCAAGUGACAGCCAGUGAAGGAGCCAUAUUGGAUCACCCAGAAUAUUCAAGACCCAGUGUUACUGCAGCUGCAGCCAAUAUCACAUGAAGCAGGAGAAUCAUCCCUCUAAGCCCAGGAUUCCUACAAGAUCAUGAAAAUAACCAAAUAAGCCACUAACUUGUGGGGUGGUUUAUUAUGCAGCAAAAUGCAUGGAAAGAGCUGAAUCCUUCCUGGAAUGGGCUUCAGAAUUGUCUUAUCAGUGACUCAUGAGGUCAGCCCAGCUCCCUUCAUAACCAAACUAAUUCAUUUGAGCAAUGACAGACCUUAGGCACAGGGGGUACUGAGAAGUGGGAGAAGCCACAAGAAAAGAGAACUCUGUCUGAACCAUCAAGUUAUCUGAAAUUUUGGUAAGGAAAAUGUGAAUGUGUGUGCUAAAAAUAGCAUUUGACAACAAAUGGCACAAGGGAAAGCACAACAGGGUUUGACUUGUGUGAGUGAGACAAUGUGGACAUGCAUUAUUGGGAAUUCAGUGCUGACUUUGAGUCAAAGAGAGCAAUGUGGACCCCUGCAGUAGGAACAAUUAUUUCACUGAAUUUCCAGCUGGAGUAUAUGAUUUUGGGGAGGGAAUGUCAAUGGAACAUUUUUUUUUUUUGCAUAGAAAUGUUUUUACUCUAUGACUCAGUACCUUCUUUCCAGAGCUAAAAUCAUCUAGAAAUGAGCUUGAAUGACCCAGGAGCUAUGGAAUGCUAGCAAGGAUGAUGAGAAAUUCAUAUUAUAACAUGAUGACAUGACCUUCACAUCUAGGGAGUAUAAGACAAGUGGAAAAGAGGAUGAUUUGGAAAUGGAAAAGACAACAAAGCUUGAAAUUUGAAUGAAGACCGUUAAUGCUGGAAUCAGGAGGACAAACCAAAUAAAAAUUUAUACAGAAGAAAUUCUUAACAUCCUUUUUCUCUUCUCUAAUUUCAACCACUGAAGUAACAAAUACAAUUCAACAUUCAUUUUUAACAUUUAUAUUGAGUCUUUUUAGAGUAAAUGUUUUAAAAAUUAUUCUAUUAGUAGUUACAGGCACUUUUAUUUUUAUUUAUUUGGGGGGGGUACUGGGGAUCAAACUCUCGGGACCUUGGGCUUGUGAGGCAGGCGGCAGAACCACUGCGCUAAAUCCCCAGCACUUCUGUUAGUAGUGAAAAAAGCUCACCAUGACUUUUCAGAACUUUUUAUGAAAAAGGACUUGAAAGAGCAUAUCUCUAAGGAAAAAGAACCAAUUGACCCUUUCAGCAUAUGACAAAAGUGAUAUGAUUUCUCAGCAAAUACCCUCAUCAAAACAUCUAGCAAAUGGGCUAAAAAUGUUGUAUAGUAUCCUCUGGGCAUUUUGGGAAAUUUAUAUGUCUUCAUUGAUUACUCUGACAGUUGAUAAGGCAAAAAACCAAUGUUAUAAUUUAUGCAUUAUACUUAUGUGACAUUUCUUCCUGAUAAUAAUGUGACACUAAAGCAGAGAGGAGAAAUUGCCCUGGGUGGCAGUUAAUAUGGUGUGUUGUCUAUCUUUGUUUCAAAACAUUUUUCCAAAAUCAGUAGCUCAGUGAAAUAAGAUUUUGACCAGUGAUCAAAGCACAGAUAGGCAAGAAAUUUCCUGUUGAAAAGCAGUUACACAUAGUAUUUUAUAGUAGAAAUAUUAUGCAGAAGAGAAGAUGUACAAUCAUUUUCAAGAUUAGGAGUGAAUAUGGAGAAUUUCUACAUAUUGACUACACCAAGUUUUCUUCAUCACAGAGCCCUGCAAACCACACCUCUGCUCUCAAGCUCGAGGGCUUCCUCUCUGUGGCUGUUAAGUAUAUUACUAGAAAGAUAAUGUCUCAGGUUAGCUCAUCAUGGGCCUGAAAAUUCCCCCACCCUCAUCUUCCUUUUCUUCUCCCUUUCUCCUCAUUCUUCCAUGCUUUGUGUUUGGAGAAGGGUGACUUGAUUAGUGAGACUUAAACUAAGAGACUCCAGGAUCAGACCAUGUGGAAAGUAAUAACUGGCUGUGGGGUCAGCUUGCGGCCUCUGUUGGUUAGCUUUCCAUUACUGUAACAAGUAUCUGAGAUAAACAACUUGCAAAGAGGAAAGGUUUAUUUUGGCUCACAGUUUCAGAGGUUUCCGCCCAUGGUCAAUCGGCUCUGUGGCUUUGGGCCUGUGGUGAGAUAACAAAUCAUGCAGGGAAGCAUAUAGUGCAACAAAACAAGGAAGGGCUAGAUUCCCAGUAUCCCAUUCAGGAACAUAUCCUCAAUGGCCUAACUUCCUCCCAGGAGGCCCUGUGUCUUAAAGAUUCCACUGUCUCACAAUAGUGCCACAGGCUUGCAACUAAGCAUUGAUCACCUGGGCCAAACACAUCCCAGCAAUCGCAAGAAGAAAAACGAAGAUCCUGUAGUUUUCAGGAAUUUUCAACUAGGUCCUUAUUAUUCAUUUCUUAGGUUGUUGGUGUAAAUAGAAUUGAUCAAGAGCUACAAUCCGAUAUUACUAAGAGUUGUUUAGACACAGGUUCCAUUUCUAUAUAAGCAACAGGGCCUUUCAAAACCAACCAUUUUAAGAAGUAAAAUUUUAGGAACCUGGAAACAUUUACCUUUCAAAAGUGCUUUACAGCUUUCCAGGCCUCGUCAUACAUGAAGGCACUGUGCAAUUAUCCAGACAAUUUUCCGUCCACUUCCGUUCUCUUACCUCCUUCCCAAUGCUAGGGCUCAGGGCAAGUGACCCACGCCGCAGAAGCAGAAGGGCUUGCCGGAGGUGGGGAACGGGGAGAGGACAGCCUCCCUAGGGGCGCUCUGCCCUUCCUCAGCCAGGGCCAGGGUCCCUGCUACCCGGGAGGGCGCCUCCCCUCGCUCACACCUGAGUUCACCUGGAAGGCGGGGCGGGGAGCAGGGCACAGGACGGGGUCAGUGCGGCCCUGGAUCCGCUCAGCAGCGGCUCCGGCGCCCGGGCCUGGCCCCCUGUUGCUCACACUGCUGGCGACCAAUGGCGCCGCCGCUUAUCACCCCGGCCCCGCCCCCGGGGAGUGGGAGGGCGGGCGGUCGGCAGGCACCGGAGAGCGAGGAUUGAACUUUGCAGCCGACUGGCGGCGGCGGCGGCGAGGUGCCCGGCAGCGCGGCCCCGGUUCCGAGCGGGGAGCCAUGGAGUACGGGGCGCAGCGCGGCCCUCACCCUGUGCCUGUGGCUCUGGUUGGCGGCCUCGGGGGGCUGCCUGGCUUCAGGCCCCGGCUUGGUGGCGGCGGCGACCCCACGGCGGCUGGACGAGUCUCUGUCCGCCCGGAGCUUCCAGCGCACGCGCUGCGCCUCCAGGUGCCUCCGCCUGCAGACCACUCGCUUCUCCGCCUUCUUCCAGCACUUCCAGGUACGAGCGCCCUCGCCCUCGCCCCCGCCCCGCCGGGAUCCCCUCUGCAGCCCUGGGGCCUCGGCGUGCGCGCGAGGUCCUCCCAGCCUGGGCGGGCGCAAAGUUCUGCCCGGCUUUCCCUCCGCGUGGGUUGCACGAUCCGGGCUCCCCAAGCCUCUCUCCUGGGCAUCUUCUCCAAAUCCCUUCUCCCCGGCGGCCGACGGGACGGGCGGCACUCGCUCUUUCUAGGGGACGCAGACCAGUUUUUCGGAUUCCCAGGUGUCUGCGUGGGGCUUGUCACUUUCCCGGGACCGCAGCGCGCGCAACUCGGCGCCAGGGAGGAGGAGUUCCGCCAACUCCGGGCCGCCCGGGACGCUCCCCACCGGCGGCACGGACACUCCCGGGGUCUCCAAGGCGCGCGCGGUGCCCCAGUGUCGCAGGUGCCGGGGUGCCGGACGCCUCGGACGGCUUUGAGCUGUAGCUUUCCUAACCGGCGGGUCUGGGGCUCGCUAGCCACCUCCGGAAGACCCACCCAGGGCCCCGGGGCCGACUUGUGCGCUCUCUCGGGGUGCGCGGUGCGCGUCCCGCUCGCAGCUCCAAGGGUUCCCUUACUAACCACCGGCUCAGAGGACCGGCAGUGGCAGGGGAAGGGUGGGGCUCAGGACGCAGGGGCCAGGCUUGGAUGCUCCGGGGAAGAAUCCCCGGGGCCAAGGGCUCCCCCAGCCCGAGUAGGUUGUUCCAGCUUGAGGGUGCGGAAGGUGGGGGGGAGAGGGGCGAAGGAGGCUCCUGGAAGUGCACUCCUGGCGCCCUUGGACCUGCACCAAAGCGGGUGGGCGCCCGAGCAGCUCCCGGACUCCGAGGGCGCAAGGCCCUGGAGUCAUCCACUUGCGGGCCUCCUCCUCUGCUGCUCGCCUCUCCCCUGAGCUACCCACCUGUUCCAACAGCCCAGCUUCUCGCCCCAGGGAAAAUUCUGGAGGCUCCCAGGUGAGGCUGGAACUGGAAGCAGAGCCCUCUGCCUUUACACUGGGUACCCCUCCGGCCGGCCGAGGCCCAGUGGAGUAGAGGGGGCUCAGCAAAGGAGGGGCUCCCGGAAUCAGGGAUCCGAGCAGCUGGAACCGGCGCUGAUCAGUUCUGGAGGGUGCAGUUUCGGGUGUCUGUCCGCAGCCCUCCGGGUGGCCUUCCCCGCCAGUGUGCCAGAGAGCGACCUACGGACGGCUCACAGUUGGGAUCUGAAGAGCUGAGGCCCACCGGUGAACUUUGCGAGCCUUUGUUCGGAAUCAAACAGUGUCUGUCAGGAGAAAGUAGAAAAGGACACUCAGCCUCUUUCAGGGCCUGCGGGGAAGCGAAACCCGACGCUUACCUCUGUAGCGAGGUAGCAGGACAUCGACAUCCAGGCAGGCGCCUGUCCCCACACACCUGACUCAAAUCCACCGCCUUACCCCAAAGUCCCUCUCCCCAGAAGAUGCCACGCGGGUGUUUGAACAACACCGCAACACAACGCAGAAACCACCAGCCCAUCUCCAGAGAGGACAAGGAUGUCCCUCCCUCCACCUUUUUAUUGUCAGUUGCAGUGAUUUACUUGUUUUACAGUUGCAGCGGCUACAGAAGCAGUUUAGAUCGAGCCAAUUCCCGUGAAAGGCUUUUCUCAUGGUCUCUUGGCUUGAUUUCUCUUCCCAAGAAAAACUACUGACAGAAUACACGUUGCCAGACAAUCCCGAUUACAUUUUAAUUAGCUCGGGUGAAACAGGCUGCAAAUUACUUAGGACCUAAUAACUGCUGGGCUUUUUUCUUGGUUUUGUUUUCUGUAAUUACUCGCAAAGCCAUUCUUGGAGACUUAACCCUAACCUGGUAGUGCCUAUCUGAUUUAUCUAAAUUCCAGGGAUUUGGCUUUCUUAAAACUUGAAAAGACAGCAACACGUCCUCCUUAUACAGCAAAGCCCCAGGCUUCCCUGGGGCCCUGGCCAGCCCUACCUUGUUGGAUAAUUGGAAGCCUGGUGGAGGGAUCCGCCUCAGGAUGUAUGAAUGGGCGCAAGACUGGGCUGCAGGAAGUCUCAGGAGGAACUAUUGGAUCAGUCCACUCCCUCCACACAGGGUCCUCCUGCAGGGGACCCAGCAGGUGCUUGCAUCCAUCUUUACUUGUACAGUUCUAGGCCUCUUUUUAAGAUCUUUUUAAGGAUGCGAGCAAGUUUGCCUCCAUCCAACCUGGAUGCCAGCCAGAUGUGUGAACUCCCAGGCAUGGAAGCAGCCAGGGAGGACCCAAUCUAUACCCUCCAGGUACACUCAGGGACUCGGGGUCCUAGGCAACACUGACCAGCUAUGGUCCACCUGGGAUCUAAUCAUCACCACCUCAGUCCCUUUCUGGUUCCCUGUACUGCCCAGCCCGGCAGCAAUUGGAAGGGAGAGCUGUAGGCAGAUGUGCACAUCUGGACACAGUGGCUGUCACCCUCCAGGGCACCAGGGACUCAGUACUAGAGCCUGCAGGUGAGAGUGAUGAUGGCAGAGAUCUGAUUACAGCCCGGAAUCCUCCCCCAUGGCAGGAGAUGUGUUAUGGUGCAUCGAACACAUGCUAUUUUUUUCCUGUGAUUGGUUCUGAGCCAUUUUGGUAGCAUCCCAUUAGAUGGGAGCGGCCAUACAACAGCCUGGAUGCCACCUGCAUUCAGGGAGCUGUGUGGUGCCAGCCCAGAAACCUGCCCCACAGCAGGAGAUGUGGUAAGGUGGGUCGAACCCAUUCUCUGUAUUCCUGUGAGCGGUUCUGAGCCAUUUCGGAAGCAUUCCAUUAGAUGGGAGCAGAUGUAUGGUGGACCAGAUGCCAUCUCCUUUACAGUAGUGGCGUGGUGCCAGCUCUGAAUCCUCCCCCGUGGCUGGAGACAUAUGUUUUUAAAAGCUGAUAAAUUAUAACUUUAAGUCAUUGCUUUAUGUGUAUUGGCAUAAAUGUAUAUAUUAUGUUAUGCCUACCUGUAUACUUGUAUUUAUAUAUUGUUGAGAUGGUACCAGAUUACUUUUUUUAAAAAGUACUCAAUAUCUUAAAAACAUAAACCUAAAUACCUCUUUGAUCACAUGACUUUUAUAAAAUGUUUUUAAAAGGUCAGUAUGGUGAUGCAUUCCUGUAAUCCCAGCAUGCAGGAGGAUGAGAGAGGAAGAUUUUAAGGCCACCCUGGGCUACACAGUGAGACCCUGUCUCAAAACAAACAAAGAAAAAGAAGAGUUUUAAAAGAUAUAACAAAGGUGUCCUCAACUGCUAAUGUAAAUUUUCACUACAUUAGCUAAUCAAAUUUAUAUUUGAGGUAUUUUAACUUUAGAAAAAGUUUCAGUUGCACAAAAGUUAAAGAUACUAAUUGCUGGGUGUGGUUGCACAAGCCUGUAAUGCCAGCACUCAGGAAGCUGAGGCAGGAGCUGUGAGUUUGAGGACACCCUGGGAUACAUAAUCAGUUCAAGGCCAGCCUGAAUUACACUGUGAAACCCUGUCUCAAAAAAACAAAUUAAAGAGCAUAAAAAUAUAAUUAAAAUUUUUGAGUUUGUUAGGAUCCUAAAAACUCUUAAAAAUCAGAGUCAGUUCAACAUUGAGACAAUAUGAAUAUACCAAUAUCUGGGUAUUCUUUUAUUUUAAAUUAUUUAGCUUCUCAAACAAUGAUAUAUAACAAUAGUCAAUAUAAAGACUGCUUCUAAAUUUGUACCAGGGGUCCUGUUUUUUGAUAGACAUUAGUUUAAAAUGUUAGAGUGUUUUGGUUUUGUUUUUUUUUUUGGUACCAGGGAUCAAGCUCGGGACCUUUCGCUUGUGAGGCAGGCACCAGAACCACUGAGCUAAAUCCCCGGCCCCCUUUUUUUUUUGAGACAGGGUCUCACUAUGUAGUUCAGGCUGGCCUUGAACUCACUAUGUAGCAGAGGCUGGCCUCAAACUCAAAGCGAUCCUCCUGCCUCAGCCUCCCGAGUGCUGGGAUUACAGGUGUGCACCACCAUUCCUGGCAAAAAUGUUAGGGUUUAUAACAAAAUCUAUCCAUAUUUUCCUAGACAUUAGUUUAAAAAGUUAAAAUUUAUAGCAAGAAUGCCCUUUGAGUCCCUGAUAACAAAAUGAAAAUCAUGCUUUUUAAUAAAUAGCAUGUAAAGGCCCAGGUCUAGCUAUUUCUUACCCCUGUAGUGGUCUGCAUGCCAUGACUACAGUAGUUUCAGGACUGGCUUCUUCCAAAAUGUUCUCAAGACUGCUUUCUUAACCAAGAGUGGUUUACGGAGCCUGACAGCUUCUACUUGGUUAUUCUACUCAGCAUGAGUUAGGUAACAGACCUCUCCUAUGGUUUAUUAAAGUUAAAAAAUGGAAACACUUUUUAAAGUUUCUAUUCAUUAGACAUUAUCUAAUAAAAGUCUACUGGAAAGCCUUCUUACUAAGUCUAUAUAAAAAAAAACAGGGAAUUUUGUCUUAUACACUAAUGUGUGUCUAAAUAAGCACUGUCCAGCCAUGCUGUACUUCUUCCUAAUUUCCUGAAAGAGCUGAGUCCACAUUUACAUAGAUAUUAACUCACUCAACUCUAAAAUGAUUAUACAAAACAAAUAUUUCUCCCUACAGUUCUUGGAUCUUUCCAGAUUUUCUGAGCUAUUCCAUUUUCAAUGCCCACAAUUAAUAAAAUUCACUUAUGGGUAUCCUUGUUUCCCAAAAUAGUUUGCUUUUGGUGACAUAAAAAUGUGAUUAUAAAUAAUUCAUUGAGGUCAAUAUGAAGAUUCAAGUUCAAAAGCCCCCAAAAAACCUUCAAAAAUUUAAAUAAUAGUCUGUUAUAGUGUAUGCAAAGGGAAUUUUGAGAUAUUGACAACUUUUACAUUUUUUUCUCAACAAAAGUUUGCUUUAAGAUUAUUACUUGUGUUUGUCAAAUAUUUUAUAUUUUACAUACAAUGUAAAUGUAGUUUUUAAAAAUUAAACAGAUAAAUAAAAGCUCUAAGUUAUUUAUAAUUAAGUUAAAAUACUAAAGAUUUGUUAAAUAUAAAUUCAUAUAUUAUUUAAAAUUUAUAAAUGAUAAUAUAUUUAAAUAUUACAUAUAUUUCAUAGGUUGUUCAUAUAUGUCUGAUAUAUAUCACUAACAUAAGCUCAAAUAUCUAAAAAUAGAGUUUUAUCAAUCUACAGGUCAACUAGUGAAAAUGAGCUUAAGAAAAUAACUCUCAAAGUGAUUGAGGAUUAUAUCUGUUUAUCAUUUUAAGUUAUUUAUGUAAGCACAAUUUAUUUCAUAUUCUAAUAACAGUUUUUAAAUUCUUAAAAACUCUUUUGAUAUAGAGUUAAUAGCUAUGUUACCUCAUCUUAAUGUGUUUGUUUAUGCUGCCUAAUGCUAAUAGUUUCAAGAGAUAGUAAAUGGCUUGCUUGCUUCUCUAUAAAAACUAAAGUGCUACUAAUUUAGUGUCUAUGUAGUCUUUGUUUAAAUUAAGUAUUUAAAAUGAGUUUUUAUUUUUAAAUCUCUGUUUCUACUAAAACUCCUUUUAAGUUCAAAAGCAAUGAUUUUGGGUGUUUCCAACCUCAAAUAUGUUAUACAUGUGUGUUCUUUUUUAGAUAUCCAGUGGUUACAUCAAUAUAUGACAGUUUGAGGCACAAAUAUGAUCUAAUAACAAUUUUUAAAUACUGGUGAUCCAUUGGCAUAAUUUUAUAAUAUAAAAGUUAUGUUUCUGUUAUAAAUUGAUCAUAUAUGUUAACAGUAUAACUUUUGAAUAAAAUGUUUCUAAAGACAGUUUUUUGUAAAAAUGUUUUUUAAAAAUUGUAGUACAAAAAAACAAUGUCAAAAUCUGUUUAAAAGAAUAAAGCUUAAGAUAGAGAUCUGUUCUUAAUAAAAUUGAAAGCAAAACUAUUUUAAAAGGCUACAGAUUUGUCGAAG
rnacentral:lncRNA from 1 species